rnacentral:rRNA from 1 species
GACGAACGCUGGCGGCGUGCUUAACACAUGCAAGUCGAACGAAGUGGCGAACGGGUGAGUAACGCGUAAUCAAACUGCCCUUCAGAGGGGGACAACAGUUGGAAACGACUGCUAAUACCGAAUACUGCAGGGGGGGCUUGAGUCUGAUUAGCUGGUUGGAGGGGUAACGGCCAACAAAGGCGAUGAGCAGUAGCCGGGCUUGGAGGAUGAACGGCCACAGUGGGACUGGGACACGGCCCAGACUCCUACGGGAGGCAGCAGUGGGGAAUCUUCCGCAAUGGACGAAAGUCUGACGGAGCAACGCCGCGUGAGUGAUGACGGCCUUCGGGUUGUAAAGCUCUGUUAAUCGGGACGCGGUACCGGAAUAGAAAGCCACGGCUAACUACGUGCCAGCAGCCGCGGUAAUAC